rnacentral:lncRNA from 1 species
AGUCAGUCACUCGCAUUGUCACAUUCCACAAGGCAACAAAUCACGACCCACGAGAUCGAAGAAUACACGCCGACACAGAGCGCUUGCGCGCACACACAAUCAGCGAAACAUCUCAGGGAAGUGCGUCCUCGAGCUCGGUAGCAAUGUCGACUCGAUGCUUGUUGGCGCUUGGCUGCAUUGCCGUGGCGGUAAUGUCGCUCGCCGUGGCGCCGGCGGACGGCGCGAUCCUGCCUUGGUUCGGGAGCGGCGGCGGCAGCCGCGGCGCACGCGAUGACGCGGUGGCGUCGCCGCUCCAGGACGUGGCCCUGCUCGCCGACCCGUUCCGGAUCCUGGAGCACGUGCCAUUCGGUUUCGACCGCGACGACGUGGCCAUGGUGUCCAUGGCGCGCGUGGACUGGCGCGAGACCGCCGACUCCCACGAGAUCGUCGUCGACGUGCCAGGGAUGAGGAAGGAGGACCUGAAGGUGGAGAUCGAGGAGAACCGGGUGCUGCGGAUCAGCGGCGAGCGGCGGCGGGAGGUGGAAGAGCGGAAGGGCGACCACUGGCACCGGGAGGAGCGCUCCUACGGCAAGUUCUGGCGCCAGAUGCGCCUCCCCGACAACGCGGACCUCGAUUCCAUCGCCGCGAGCCUUGACGCCGGCGUCCUCACCGUGCGCUUCCGGAAGCUGGCGCCCGAACAGAUCAAGGGCCCGCGCGUGGUUCGCAUCGCCGGGGGCGACGACGGCGCCGCUGCGAAGAAGACCAUCGGCGACGUCGGUGCCGCUGGAGGUGAAGAGCGCCAGACCAAGAAAAUCGAGCUCUGAAUCCUGAACUCUGCACUGCGCGGAGUGCCAAUGUUCUUGCCACUUUCCAGUACGCGCUUGUCAGUUCCGCUUCUCAGUACAGCGUGUAGAAAAAUGUGAUGUACUACUAUUUUUGAAUGUAAAAGCGACACUGAGUGGUCGAUCACUGUCGCAUGUAAGAGAAGUUCACCGAGGAAAUAAAAACCACAGAUCACUUUGUUUUGCCCGUGUUGAGAACAUUCACACUUAAUUGAUUGAUUUUUCU